rnacentral:rRNA from 1 species
AUUGAACGCUGGCGGCAGGCCUAACACAUGCAAGUCGAGCGAGCGGCGGACGGGUGAGUAAUGUCUGGGAAACUGCCUGAUGGAGGGGGAUAACUACUGGAAACGGUAGCUAAUACCGCAUACCAUCAGAUGUGCCCAGAUGGGAUUAGCUAGGAGGUGGGGUAACGGCGCACCUAGGCGACGAUUCCUAGCUGGUCUGCGAGGAUGACCAGCCAGCCUGGAACUGCGACACGGUCCAGACUCCUACGGGAGGCAGCAGUGGGGAAUAUUGCACAAUGGGCUCAAGCCUGAUGCAGCCAUGCCGCGGGUGUGAAGAAGGCCUUCGGGUUGUAAAGUACUUUCAGCGGGGAGGCGUUACCCGCAGAAGAAGCACCGGCUAACUCCGUGCCAGCCGCCGCGGUAAUUC